UAUAUUUUAUGUUUAUAGUUAUUAAAUAAAGACAAAUGGAACGAGACGGAGCCCGAAGAGGAAACCGAGGAAAUAAAGAGGGUACACCAGAUGUUCAACGCUUGCGACGCAACGCCUUGUCCCCAGAAAUGCGUCUUUGAGAGAACCGGAAUGGUAGAUAAGAACGGACGGUACGUGCUGCGUGAAAUAUCCAGAUGGAUCAAGAAGUGGCACAAACGACCCGGCCUCAGCGAAAUUAUAACCGACAUAAUCGCUAUACGUUGCAUGGAUGGUGAAUAUUGGGACAGGACGGUACUUAAUUUUGAGGAAUGCGUUCGAGCUAAGAAAAUGCUGAUUUGCUUAAGACUGCGUCCAGCAAAAUCAGCGAAAAAGGCAGUCACCGUUUAGUCGCUAGCGUUCACAUCUCUUGAUAAAAAAAAUAUAAUAAAUGUCAUUAUUAUCUCAAAGAGUGUGUUUACAACAAAUCACCCUUGAAAAUCUGAAAUCUUUUACAAUAUAAUAAAUACUCUUAUGCAAAGUUGUACCUAAAACGAGAUGAACGAGUGUCAGCGUUUAGUAAAAUUUGUAUAAAAAAAUCGAUGCUCAAGCUAUAAAAUCGAGUGAUUUCGAAAGCCAGAUAACUGGACUACAACGAAUCAGGCUUUUCCUAUUUUUCCUCUUAAAGGCAACAGAGAAAUUCCAUCGUAAACGUAAAAUUUCCAUACAUCCGCCAUAUCUGUCAAAUUCUCCUUUGAAUCAGAUGCGCGCUGUGGCUCCUCCGGAGCGUUCGCGUACCUGGAUCUCCCAUUUUGACAUUUCGUUAUGGCAUAUAUAUUGACAGAAAUUCAUGUCCGUAUACGAAUGAUGAUACCAGUGAAAAACUGUGUUCAAAAUAAAUAGGGUAAAUUAAUAAUGUCACACGGAGAUCUAGAGUCAUUAAAAUUUUGAUUUGUUUUUAUUCACAAGUCAUAAUACUUUAAAAAUAUAAGUAACAAAUUAUUUAAAAAAUAUACGAACACAACCAAAUCAGUGUAAUUAGUUUCUUCCUAAUUCACUCAAAAUGAAAAAAGUUUGAAGAUUUGUUUUUUCUUAUUGGAAUAUAUUUUCAUUGUGCUGGCAUUCAUAUUACGUCAUUUUAAAAACAUAUAUGACAUAAUGUCAAUAUACUAGACAGACAAUUUAUCAACAAAAUUCUUCACAUUUUAACAUGAUUUUAACGUAAACAAUUUUAAUUAUUAAAAUUUUAUUUAUGAAGACACAUAAAUAAAAUUAUUUAUGUUGUUCACAUAAUUUCAGCAAUAAAAUUCUUAGUUUCAACCAGUUUUGUUGCUAUUCUAAGAGCUAUCACGUGCUUUGAAAGUUAAUUCAAUGCUAUAUCAUCAAGAAAUUGAAAUCAAGACUCGACCUGCAGUCUCAGCGAGUUUUUGUGGCUAUAUUAUCAGUUGAAAGAACGAUAUUUAAAGCCAAUACCAUCGCAGUGGUCUGGCUUACGAGUACCUAUAUUGGUUUCAUGUGACGAUUUUUAUAUAAAUGUAUCUAUCAAAUAACAAUGUGCUUUUAUUUCAUUGAUAUUCGGUGCAAAACGAUAACUCAGUAACGAAAUAGAAUUAUCAGAAAUGCCUUUGGGUUUUUUCAGUGAACGUUUAUAUUUAUGAGGUCGUUUAUGAUGUCUUAUGUUUUAUCAGCGUGGCUUUGGCCUUUGGACAUUUUUGUAAUGCUUUGUAAUAAGGUACUUAUGUGAGGUAUCUAUAUCCCUAAUUGUAAUAACCUUUUUUUGAAUGAAUUACAUUUUAAUUAUUUAAAUAAAAAAGUGGUCCAAAAAAAUAAACAUCCGCUCGUUCCGCUAAAAUAAUUUAAGUGCCCUACAUAAUAUUAAUCUUGAACUUGUACUAUGACUAAGAAGGCCCACCGUCAGUGCAAGUAACAAGGCCCGGUUCCGAACCAAUAUGGUAUGUUUUAUAAAACGUGUAUUUUUCAAAAGCGCCGGAAUAUUUUUAUAACUAUUUUGGUAUAUGAAGAAACAUGAACAAAUGAGAAACCUAUAUUGAAAUGAAUUGGUAAUAAUAUCCUGAUUAUUUAUAAAACUAUUUCAGUUAAAAUAAAGGUAUAUGCCUCACCUGACCUUAUUCGUUCACAUUUAGAUCCUAUAGCUAUAUUUGGUCACUUUGGCCGUCACUAUAUCUAUUUGAUGCCGAUUGUACUAACAAUUAAAAGUACAGCUCAUAUGUACUUUUACAUGUACUGAAACUUAAGCAUUUGAGCGUAAUUAAUGAUGUUCACUGAUUAUUAACAUUACGUGUUAAAGAAUCGUGUCCCGAUUUGGGCCAUGGUGCGUCCAUUGAUGAAUCGCAUACUAACGGAUAGAGGUUUACGAGUACAUUCACGGAAAAAUAGUUUCAUUGUUAACUGAAGUGGGCAUAUGAUUAUAGGCAACCCAAUACUGGUGGCUUAGUUGCCGUUUAUAAAUCUGAAGAUUCUUCAUGGAUACUGUCAAAUCUUAUAAAAUAUGUCUCCCAUUUCUGUUCAUGGAGGUUUUAUUAGUUGUGUUAGAUGCUUUGCAUACCGUUAUUACCAAAUAAUGGGCUGAUUUGGCCCGGUAGCAACGAGAUCGUACCGUGUACCAAAAAGAAGGGAAGAGGGGAAAUGGUCGGCUCCCCAGGACCAAUCUAUGCUAUACUUCUUCAUGCUCUUAGCAACUAGGGCAAGUUAUAUAUCAUCUUUGUAUAAUUUAGGUACGAGGAAUUCAGUUUUUAAAUAAUC